GUCUUCGGACUUUGAGACCGGCGCACGGGUGCGUAACGCGUAUGCAAUCUGCCUUUCACAGAGGGAUAGCCCAGAGAAAUUUGGAUUAAUACCUCAUAGCAUUAUAGAGUGGCAUCACUUUAUAAUUAAAGUCACAACGGUGAAAGAUGAGCAUGCGUCCCAUUAGCUAGUUGGUAAGGUAACGGCUUACCAAGGCAACGAUGGGUAGGGGUCCUGAGAGGGAGAUCCCCCACACUGGUACUGAGACACGGACCAGACUCCUACGGGAGGCAGCAGUGAGGAAUAUUGGUCAAUGGGCGCAAGCCUGAACCAGCCAUGCCGCGUGCAGGAUGACGGUCCUAUGGAUUGUAAACUGCUUUUGUACGGGAAGAAACACUCCGACGUGUCGGAGCUUGACGGUACCGUAAGAAUAAGGAUCGGCUAACUCCGUGCCAGCAGCCGCGGUAAUACGGAGGAUCCAAGCGUUAUCCGGAAUCAUUGGGUUUAAAGGGUCCGUAGGCGGUCUGGUAAGUCAGUGGUGAAAGCCCAUCGCUCAACGGUGGAACGGCCAUUGAUACUGCUGGACUUGAAUUACUGGGAAGCAACUAGAAUAUGUAGUGUAGCGGUGAAAUGCUUAGAGAUUACAUGGAAUACCAAUUGC
rnacentral:rRNA from 1 species